rnacentral:lncRNA from 1 species
UCAUUUAAACACCACGACAAGAAUGUUACAUUAGUACCCCUUACACCAAAGCAAGUUCAAGAAGAUCAAAUUCAGCUGAGAAAGUCGUAUGAAAAGAUGAGAGGAAAGAAAAGUGAAAAAGAAAAAGCAAAGAAUGAGAAAAAGAAAAUUGAAAUACGAAAAGAAAAAGAGAAGAAAAAAAUAGUGAACUUGAAAAGAGAAAUUUUUAUGCAAGAAAAAAAAUAGAAAAAGAAAAAGAGACUGAAAAAGAAUUGAGUGAAGAGAAUUUCCAGUCAAAAGAAAGAACAUUUGUUGCUAACUGAAAUUCAACUCUGCCUUUUUAUCAUUCUUCUUUUCAGGUUUGUAGAGCCCCAACC